AACGAACGCUGGCGGCAUGCCUAACACAUGCAAGUCGAACGAGACCUUCGAGUCUAGUGGCGCACGGGUGCGUAACGCGUGGGAACCUGCCCUUAGGUUCGGAAUAACUCCCCGACAGGGGUGCUAAUACCGGAUAAGGUCUUCGGACCAAAGAUUUAUCGCCUUUGGAUGGGCCCGCGUUGGAUUAGCUAGUUGGUAGGGUAAAAGCCUACCAAGGCGACGAUCCAUAGCUGGUCUGAGAGGAUGAUCAGCCACACUGGGACUGAGACACGGCCCAGACUCCUACGGGAGGCAGCAGUGGGGAAUAUUGGACAAUGGGCGAAGGCCUGAUCCAGCAAUGCCGCGUGAGUGAUGAAGGCCUUAGGGUUGUAAAGCUCUUUUACCCGGGAUGAUAAUGACAGUACCGGGAGAAUAAGCUCCGGCUAACUCCGUG
rnacentral:rRNA from 1 species